rnacentral:rRNA from 1 species
GUACGGGAGGCAGCAGUGGGGAAUCUUGCGCAAUGGGCGAAAGCCUGACGCAGCAACGCCGCGUGUGUGAUGAAGGUCUUCGGAUCGUAAAGCACUGUCGCGAGGGACGAAUAAGGGUUGGGUGAACAAUCCAGUCCGAUGACGGUACCUCGAGAGGAAGCACCGGCUAACUCUGUGCCAGCAGCCGCGGUAAUACAGAGGGUGCGAGCGUUGUUCGGAAUUAUUGGGCGUAAAGCGCGUGUAGGCGGCUUUGUAAGUCAGGUGUGAAAGCCCUCGGCUUAACCGAGGAAGUGCGCCUGAAACUACAGAGCUUGAGUGCCGGAGAGGGUGGCGGAAUUCCCGGUGUAGAGGUGAAAUUCGUAGAUAUCGGGAGGAACACCAGCGGCGAAGGCGGCCACCUGGACGGUAACUGACGCUGAGACGCGAAAGCGUGGGGAGCAAACAGGAUUAGAUACCCGAGUAG